rnacentral:lncRNA from 1 species
CGGAGGCGGAUGCGUGUGCGACUGUGGAGAGGAGAUGAGGAGGGCAAUUGGAGGGACGCGGCGUGGGCAUGGUUAACGAUAUGGACCCACCUAUUUGUGUGGUAAAUAAUAAUUAGGCUCACAUGUCAACGAAAUUAAGUUGGACCAAAUGAAAAAAGUGGGCAGAGGUGGUCCGCACUUUAUAAAUAGGCAUAGGUAUAGAUUAUUCAUGCUGGCUUCCUAGAGCGCAUUCUGUGGGCCAAAUCU